rnacentral:rRNA from 1 species
UACGGGGGGAGCAAGCGUUGUUCGGAUUUACUGGGCGUAAAGGGCGCGUAGGCGGUCAGCACAAGUCAAUUGUGAAAUCUCCGAGCUUAACUCGGAAAGGUCAACUGAAACUGUGCGACUAGAGUGCGGAAGGGGCAACUGGAAUUCUGGGUGUAGCGGUGAAAUGCGUAGAUAUCAGGAAGAACAUCGGUGGCGAAGGCGGCAUCCUGGCCCUGUCCUGACGCUCAGGGGCGAAAGCGUGGGGAGCAAACAGG